GAUGAACGCUAGCGGGAGGCCUAACACAUGCAAGCCGAGCGGUAUGGGUAGCUUGCUACCCAGAGAGCGGCGUACGGGUGCGUAACACGUGUGCAACCUGCCCCUAUCCGGGGGAUAGCCCUCCGAAAGGAGGAUUAAUACCCCAUAAUAUAUCUGGUGGCAUCACUAGAUAUUGAAAACCCCGGUGGAUAGGGAUGGGCACGCGCAAGAUUAGAUAGUUGGCGGGGUAACGGCCCACCAAGUCGAUGAUCUUUAGGGGUCCUGAGAGGGAGAUCCCCCACACUGGUACUGAGACACGGACCAGACUCCUACGGGAGGCAGCUGUGAGGAAUAUUGGACAAUGGGUGGAAGCCUGAUCCAGCCAUCCCGCGUGAGGGACGACGGCCCUAUGGGUUGUAAACCUCUUUUGUACGGGGAUAAACCUAUCUACGUGUAGAUAGCUGAAGGUACCGUACGAAUAAGCACCGGCUAACUCC
rnacentral:rRNA from 1 species